GAUUAAAAAAAUGAAUGAUGCUUCUAUGAACAUUCUUAUAUGUGCAUCUGGUGCUGUUUUUAUUGCUGUUUUUAUUGUUUUAUUUAUUGAGCACUUAUUUUGUGUCAGGCACGGUUUUAAGUGCUUCAAAUAUAUUGAUUCAUUUAAAUCUGCUGCCCUCUGAGAUACAGAGGACCAACUAUACUUGUCGGACUCUGAAACUUCAACUUCUCAGCUCCACUUGAACCUCAGGCACAGAGAUGGAAUCUGAAGCGGACCAAAGGGUGGCUUCUUGGAGAUGGUGAGGCGUGGCCACAGGAGGAACAGGAUGCAUGACAGCUGCCUCCCACACAGAUAUACCGCAUCUAAGAAGAUGUCGCCACCCCCAUGAGAAAUAUCUACUGUAUGCUCAUGUUUGAAUGUGUGUAUAUAUAUAGGUUCAAUAUAUACAUAAGUUGCAAAGAACUGAAGCAGCAAAAUUAGAGAAUGCUCAAUAUUUCUGACAUGCUUGGAAUAACAAGAGAUGUAAAAGCAACUCAGAAUUAGAUUCCCCUUUUACGAAGCCAGAUAAUGUGGCUGAAUCACUGAAGGAUUUCAAUCUGAGGGCACAAAGUAGGAAGCAAAUUACUAUUUACUCUCUGGUAAGAAAAACAGAGUUAGACAAGGUCUGCCUUUGAAUCACAAUAGUUGUAUGUCUAAAUGGCGUUUCUUUCUGGCAGUUAGUAAUGGGACCUGGCAGUUAAUGAUGAUGAUGACAAACACUUAGGGAGCACUCACUAUGUGCCCAGCACAGGUCUAAGUACCUUCUAUAGUCCAACUCUUUUAAUCCUCAAAACAGCCCUAAGGCAGCUCUUAUUUCUAUUGCACAGAUGAGGACACUGAAGGACAUAUUAGGUACUUAGAGAAUAUUUUGUGAAUGGAAUUAAUAAGCAGAACUAUCAUCAAUCACUUUAUUUUUCUUUUGCUCUUAAUAACAAUU
rnacentral:lncRNA from 10 species